rnacentral:lncRNA from 1 species
AGUGGCAAAAGGAAGACACCCGGGGAAAGGUCAGGCCUGUCCCCUGCAGGGGCUCAGCUUGAGCACAUCACCCUUGUGAGGUCACAGCAGGUCCUUCCCCUCUCUCCAGAGAAGCAGGGAAUGUAGGUUUUUAUGAUGGCAGUAAAGUGUCAUUGAGUCAAAAAAGACACCUCUGUGAGCCCGCUCGUAACUCAUACCUCCUGUUGGGACUUGGGACUUCUGUGGUGUCUGGAAGUAGGACGAGGAGGGGAGACCCCUGGAAGAGCAGGAGUGGGUUGGUGAAACGAGUCCCCGGAGGACCUCCGAGGCCAUUGCUGAUUGCAGGCAGGCUGGUAGUCUUCACGGAAACCCGACCUUUGUGGGGUCUUUCAAGAUGAAUGUGGAGGACUGGGAUGCAGCUGGGGGGGGGAGUGCUUGGUGGGCAUGCAUGAGACCCUGGGUUCCUUUUCCGUUCUGUCCCUCCCUUCCCGCCUUCCUUCCUCCCUCCCCUCUUUCUUUUUCUUUUGAUGCUGAGAGUUUAACCCAGGGGCACUUUACUGCAGAGCUGAAUCCCAGUCCUUUUGUUAUUUUGUGUUUUGAGACGGGAUCUUUCUAAAUUGCUGGAGGUCUUGCUAAGUGGCUGAGUCUGGCCUGGACUAUUUGAACCUUCUGCCUCAGCCUCCUGAGGGGCUGGGAUUACAGGUGCCCCACCCCCUCCUGGCUAGAGGCCCUGGGUUGAAUCCCCAGCACCAAGGGGGAAAAAAAAGAAUUUGGAAAGGAGUAAAAUGGUACAGAGGGUGAGAUACAAGAUAUGCUAAGACAAGAAGCAUUUCGUUGUCUGGAGAAGAGG